rnacentral:rRNA from 1 species
GUGCCAGCAGCCGCGGUAAUACAGAGGGGGCAAGCGUUGUUCGGAAUUACUGGGCGUAAAGGGCGCGUAGGCGGCCUGCUAAGUCGAACGUGAAAUCCCCGAGCUCAACUCGGGAACUGCGUCCGAUACUGACAGGCUUGAAUCCGGGAGAGGGAUGCGGAAUUCCAGGUGUAGCGGUGAAAUGCGUAGAUAUCUGGAGGAACACCGGUGGCGAAGGCGGCAUCCUGGACCGGCAUUGACGCUGAGGCGCGAAAGCUAGGGGAGCAAACGGGAUUAGAAACCCCUGUAGUCC